UACGUAGGGCGCAAGCGUUGUCCGGAAUUAUUGGGCGAAAGAGCUCGUAGGCGGUUUGUCGCGUCUGCUGUGAAAACCUGAGGCUCAACCUCGGGCUUGCAGUGGGGUACGGGCAGACUAGAGUGCGGUAGGGGGUGACUGGAAUUCCUGGUGUAGCGGUGGAAUGCGCAGAUAUCGGGAGGAACACCAUGGCGAAGGCAGCUCGCUGGGACGUUACUG
rnacentral:rRNA from 1 species